UACGUAGGUGACAAGCGUUAUCCGGAUUUAUUGGGCGUAAAGCGCACGCAGGCGGCCAACUAAGUCAGACGUGAAAUCCCUCGGCUUAACCGGGGAACUGCGUCUGAUACUGGAUGGCUAGAGAUUGGGAGAGGGAUGCGGAAUUCCAGGUGUAGCGGUGAAAUGCGUAGAUAUCUGGAGGAACACCGGUGGCGAAGGCGGCAUCCUGGACCAACACUGACGCUGAGGAGCGAAAGCCAGGGGAGCAAACGGG
rnacentral:rRNA from 1 species